GGCAGCAGGGUUGGGCUCUCGCCGUGAGUCGACGAAGGGAGCGCGGGCGCGCGCCCGCGUCCGCGCACUGAGAGUCGCCUCGGCCGCUCGCUUUCUCGACUCCCGCCUCGCGCCUCGAUCCUGUUCCGCCUCCCUCGGCCCUCCUGCCCGCCCCCACUCGUCGGCCCUCAGGUUCCUGGAAAGUGAAAAUUUCAUUUCUUUGUGGACAGGUACCUAAAAUGUCUCAUUAUUCAUCAAUUAAUGAAAAACAAAUGAAAAUUUGAGAGAGAUAUUCUGAAGAAUAAAAGGAUCAAGUUGGGUCAUUUCUAAAAUCUCAGAGACCUAAUAGGAUGGGGUCUUAGAGAAACAUCUUUUGAGCCACAGACUUCUUUGUUACCAGAAGGAAAAUGAAAGAAGAAAUUUAAAUACCACUUGAAGAGAGUUUCCUCAUCAGCAAAGUCAGAAAAAGUAUGUACCUGAAGGACUGAUUGUAAGGCUGGGAUGAGAGAAUCCAUGUGAUCAGCCCUCACCAACAGGUGCUGCCCAGUUCAUGAGUGCUGCUGCUGUCCUGCCCAAGUACCCAGCUUGCAGAGUGCCAGAGUUAGAGUCCCAGGGGUGUUCUCCACAGCUGCAUGCUUGAUCCAGGCCUAUCAGGUGUUAUUUGUUGACGGAACCAGGCAUCAUCAGCAAACAAAACUGACAAAGCUUCCUGCCCUCUGUGGAAGGCAUCUGAGGAAGAGACUGGAUUUUGUAGCAACAUGUUAUUCUCAUUAUAAACUUUAUCAUUGGAAUACUAAAGCCAAAUCAUCCCCCAUCUCCUUGAUCAGGAUACCCACUUAAUCUAGGCAGCUACACAAUUGUGAGAGCCUUUGUUUUUUUCUGCUGAAACAUCCUUAAAAAGAUACCUCACAACCCAAGAUUUGGCUUUUCUUAAAUACGAUUUUUAAUUUUUUUCAUUUCUAUCUAGAGAUUUAAUUGGAAAUGGAAAAUCAUCAAUUUUCCAAUUAAAUGUCUGUUCCAAUCAACAUUAUACCUUUUAGGUUGUCAUUGUCAUUUUUAAGUUUAAGCAACUUUAAGGAUUUUGAAUCUGGCUGCCUGUAAAUUAAAGGUGAAAGUAAUCAUUGUGUUGGAUUGGAACAUUUUGUCAAUUGAGAGUGGUUUCCUUGUUCUUAGUGUAUGAAAAGUUUAUUUUUCUAAUGUAGAUUAAUAAAGGAGAUAAAGAAAAACAAAA
rnacentral:lncRNA from 1 species